CAAACAGAGCUUACAAAUCUGUUUUAGUAGAUUUAUCUUGCUUGUUGAAUUUUGGACCAGCUGAUUGGCAGUUACUAUCUCAUGUGGAUGGAUGGACAGCCACCACAUCAGUUCUCCUGUCCAAAUGACUGGAAUAACUCUAAAUAUCCGCUAGAGAGCUCUAAAUCAAUGCCUCACCAAGCAAAGCUCAUCAUCUUUCUCCAAUAUAGCUCCCAGUUUUAUCAGUGGUGCUAUUGUUCUCCUGAAUGACUUGAGCUCAAGGCUUUUUUUCAUCUUUGAGUCUUCCCUUCUUAUUUUAGCCUAAGCCUCAUCUAGUCCCCCUCAGUGCCCUUCAUAAUCUUAUUUCCAUUCUCACUGCCAUUGCUCCAGGUCAGGGCCCCAUAUCCUUGACCUGGAUUGUUGCAGCAGUCUCUUAGCUGGGCUUUCUGCUCCAAGUCACCACAUCUUAUUCAACCCAAUAGUUUUCUCCAAGUUCCAGUGCUCCUCGUUGGCAACUUAAUAUGUGCUUUCCUCUCUUACUAUUUGCCCUAUUUGUUUAUAGUCUGUUUUUCAAGGCUGGUUGGUUGGUUGUUGUGCAGUACUGGGGAUUGAAUUCAGGGGCUCUCUACCACUGAGCAACAACCCAAUCCUUUAUUUUUAUUUUUUUAA
rnacentral:lncRNA from 1 species